rnacentral:rRNA from 1 species
UACGUAGGGUGCGAGCGUUGUCCGGAAUUAUUGGGCGUAAAGAGCUCGUAGGCGGUCUGUCGCGUCGUUCGUGAAAACCUGCAGCUCAACUGCAGGCUUGCGGUCGAUACGGGCAGGCUAGAGUUCGGUAGGGGAGACUGGAAUUCCUGGUGUAGCGGUGAAAUGCGCAGAUAUCAGGAGGAACACCGGUGGCGAAGGCGGGUCUCUGGGCCGAUACUGACGCUGAGGAGCGAAAGCGUGGGGAGCGAACAGG